UGAAGGAUGCUGUCCCUAGUACGAGAGGACCGGGAUGGACGAACCUCUAGUGCACCUGUUGUCGCGCCAGCGGCACCGCAGGGUAGCUAUGUUCGGACGGGAUAACCGCUGAAAGCAUCUAAGCGGGAAGCCCAUCCUAAGAUUAGAUCUCCCUGGACUUCGGUCCCUGAAGUCGCCUCGAAGACUACGAGGUUGAUAGGUCACAGGUGUAAGUG
rnacentral:rRNA from 1 species